rnacentral:rRNA from 1 species
AACGAACGCUGGCGGCAUGCCUAACACAUGCAAGUCGAACGAAGUCUUCGGACUUAGUGGCGCACGGGUGCGUAACGCGUGGGAAUCUGCCCUUGGGUGCGGAAUAACUUCUCGAAAGGGAUGCUAAUACCGCAUAAUGUCGUAAGACCAAAGAUUUAUCGCCCAAGGAUGAGCCCGCGUAAGAUUAGCUAGUUGGUGGGGUAAAAGCCUACCAAGGCGACGAUCUUUAGCUGGUCUGAGAGGAUGAUCAGCCACACUGGGACUGAGACACGGCCCAGACUCCUACGGGAGGCAGCAGUGGGAAUAUUGGACAAUGGGGGCAACCCUGAUCCAGCAAUGCCGCGUGAGUGAUCGAAGGCCUUAGGGUUGUAAAGCUCUUUUGCCAGGGAAGAUGAUGACUGUACCUGGAGAAUAAGCCCCGGCUAAACUUCGUGCCAGCAGCCGCGGU